ACAACUCUAGCAGUCCUGGAACUCUAGACCAGGCUGGCCUCUGCUGGGAUUAAAGGCAUGCACCACCAAGCCGGGUUCAUUUAGAUCAUUUUUAUAAAAUCUGCUUCUUUCAUCAUUCAACCAUUGGUGCUAAUAUAAACGGUGGCAGGGUUUCUCAAGUAGCUAGGAUACCCAGCAUAUGGAAUCCUGAGACAGGAGUUAUCCUGUGCUACAAGAGACGCUGUCUCAAAAGCAACAGCAGUAAGACUUAGAAAUAAUUUAAGAUUUUGUAAAGUAUUUUUGACCAUAGUGAAUUUGACAAUAUUCCAAUAUUUUAAAAAUGUUCUGGUGAAGCUGGAGGUGACUUUUAAAAAAAAUGUGGUUUGAGCUGUAUUUCUAGUUAUUCUAGGGGUUGAAACAGGAAGAUUAAUUGGUUUAGCUUUAGUUUAUGGCCUUUCUGUGCAUUUAGUGAGACCCAUUCCCCAUUCUUUUCUACUAAGCCCUGAAAUUACAAGUAUGCACCACUACCCCAUCUUUUUUUUUCUUCCUUUUUAAUGAGUAUCUUAUAUCUGUCCUAAGGUGGUCUUUACUUUGCUAUGUAGCUGAGGAUGACCUUCCAAGCACUGGGAUAAAAGGCAUGUGACACUGCCAGUCAGCUCAGCUUCCUAUUUAUUUAGUGUUUUUUUUUUGUUGUUGUUGUUGUUUUGUUUUUGAUAGAGAGGGUUUUCAUGUAACAUAGGUUUGCCUCAGUCUCCCAUUAUUUCCUGUGAUGACAUUGAAUUUAUAAUUCUCUUGCCUCUGUUUUUCAACUCCUGAGACAUAUGCCAUCCUACCUGCUUUAUGCACUGCUUGAGAUCAAACCCAGGGCUUUUUGUGUUUGUUUAUUAGGCAAACAUUAUCAACUGAGGUAUAUCUGUCCUUCAUCUUUUAUUUUUUAAGAUAAGACUCACUAGACUUGGCUAGCCUUGAAUUUUUAGAGAUCUUCCUCCACCAAACUUGGCUUCUACUUUGUGUUUUUUUUUUUAAACAUUAUAUAUGUGUACAUAUGAAUUUGUAAAUGCCACAGCAUGGGUGGUGGAGUGUGGUGGAGGUCCCAUAACAGCUUCUAUGAAUUUCUCAUUUUCUUUGUAUGAAUGCUAGGGAUUGAAUUUAAGUUUCCAGGCAUGGAGGCAAGCACUUUUACCUACUGAGCCACCCUUAAAGUUAAUUUCUGUAUUAAGAUGUGAGAUGAAUUUUGGAUUAUUUAUUUAAGAUUUGGUUUUUAUUUUUUUAAUUAUCUUUUCAGUGUAUGUGUUUGAGUGGCUGUAUGAGCUUAUGCCCUGCAUACAUUCAAGAUUCUGCAGGGCAGAAGAAGGCACUAAUUUUGCUGCACCCAUGUGGGUGCUGGGAAUUGAACCUGGAUCUUAUGGAAGAACAAUCUGUUCUCUUAACCCCUAAGCUAACUCUCCAGAUCCCUACUUUUAAAAAAAAAAAAAAAAACUAUCAGUUUUUUACUUCAGGAUUAUUU